AGGACGAACGCUGGCGGCGUGCUUAACACAUGCAAGUCGAACGAUGAACUCACCUUCGGGUGGGGAUUAGUGGCGAACGGGUGAGUAACACGUGGGCAACCUGCCCCUGACUCUGGGAUAACUCCGGGAAACCGGAGCUAAUACCGGAUAUGAACACGAAGGACAUCCUUUGUGUUGGAAAGUUUUUCGGUCAGGGAUGGGCCCGCGGCCUAUCAGCUAGUUGGUGGGGUAAUGGCCCACCAAGGCGACGACGGGUA
rnacentral:rRNA from 1 species